UACGUAGGGGGCUAGCGUUGUCCGGAAUCAUUGGACGUAAAGCGCGUGUAGGCGGUCCGGUAAGUCCGCUGUGAAAGUCGGGGGGCUCAACCCUCGGAUGCCGGUGGAUACUGUCGGGCUUGAGUACGGAAGAGGCGAGUGGGAAUUCCUGGUGUAGCGGUGAAAUGCGGCAGAGUAAUCAAGGAGGAACACCCAAUUGCGUAAAGGGCAGGC
rnacentral:rRNA from 1 species